CCUCCUCCGUAGUUGCUUUGAAGCAGGAAAGUGGGAGAGGAGCUGCUUAUACGAGUGUAAGCUGCUCCCCUCCCACUUUGCUGCUUCAAAGGGAGCCCGGGAGGAGGGAAUCCGCUGCAGCCUCAAGCAGCGAGGAGGAUCCAUGGGUCCCCUUCCUUCCCUCCUCCGUGGUUGCUUUGAAGCAGGAAAGUGGGAGAGGAGCUGCUUACACGGGUGUAAGCAGCUCCCCUCCCACUUUGCUGCUUCAAAGCGAGCCACGGAGGAGG